AUUGAACGCUGGCGGCAGGCCUAACACAUGCAAGUCGAACGAGUGGCGGACGGGUGAGUAAUGUCUGGGAAACUGCCUGAUGGAGGGGGAUAACUACUGGAAACGGUAGCUAAUACCGCAUACCAUCAGAUGUGCCCAGAUGGGAUGAGCUUGUUGGUGGGGUAACGGCCCACCAAGGCGACGAUCCCUAGCUGGGCUGAGAGGAUGACAAGCCGCACUGGACAUGAGAAACGGUCCAGAUCCCGAAGGGAGGCAGCAGUGGGGAAUAUGGCACAAGGGGCGCAAGCCUGAUACAGCCAUGCCGCGUGUAUGAAGAAGGCCUUCGGGUUGUAAAGUACUUUCAGCGGGGAGGCGUUACCCGCAGAAGAAGCACCGGCUAACUCCGUGCCAGCAGCCGCGGUAAUUC
rnacentral:rRNA from 1 species